UUUGAAUAAUCUGUCGCUGCU
ensembl:piRNA 21ur-6666 ncRNA